GGUCAUGUGACCAAGAUGACCAUUCCUCUUUAUUCAUGAUGAUACAAAAUUAUAUAGAAUUAAAUGUUGAUAUCCUUUUACUCAUAUGGGAAUUUGAUGGCCAGGAGAACAGGCUUAUUUUUUUAGUCUAAAAACCCGUUUUAUACAAUAUAAUAUAUAUAUUUAAUAUAUUCUCAUAUUUAUGUCAUAUUAAAUCUGUUUUAAUUUUUUUUUUUCUGUGACUACACAAGCAGACUGUGUGAUUUUUGGAAGCUGCCAGGUACUGGUGCAUACCUUGGCUUCAGAAUUGUACAUACACUUGUGAGUGUGUGUAACCGUGUGUGUACGAGUGUGUGCUCUGGUGAGAAUGGUGCAGUGUUCCUUUGUUAGGAAUACAAGACAUUUCUACUAGGAUGAAUUUUCCAAACUUUGUUGUAAGCCUCAUGUGUUAGUGCUAUUUUGAAAUUGAAAAGUGCUAUAAGGAUGUUUCAUAUUCUGUAUGUUUUGUAUAAUAAUGCCUGGCUGUAACUUCUCGUACAUACAGUCAUUGUUCAUGUUUGUUUAAUGGACUCUGAAAAAAAAACCCAUUGUAUAGUUGUUCUCAAACCAUUAACAGAGUCCUCUUUGAUAUGAAUAACUGUAAAACAUGGAUGUGGGAUUAGACAUAUUUAGAGGAAUCUGUACUAGAGAGAACUUUUCUCCCAGUAUAUCAGGUACCUCUAGUUUUGGUCUUAUUUCUCAUUCUGUGUUGGUAAAAAAAGAAAGAAAAAAUAAUCUCAAGACAUUGAACCAUGCAUGGGAGUACUUGAUUUGAUGGCAGUUUGUGGCAGUCAGGUCAAUGUCUUGUUAUUGCUGCAGAUUUGCUCCACUGCAUAUAUAUAUAUAUAUAUAUAUGAAAUAAAACAAGAACCAUU
rnacentral:sRNA from 1 species